rnacentral:SRP_RNA from 1 species
CCGCGGCCCUCGGCGGGCACCUGGAGGUGGUGCAGCUGCUGCUGAAGAAGAAGGCGGACCCCCUCAGCCUCAACAAGCAGGGGAAGAGCCCGCUGCAGCUGGCGAAGGGCGCGGAGGU